rnacentral:rRNA from 1 species
UACAGAGGGUGCGAGCGUUGUCCGGAAUCACUGGGCGUAAAGGGCGCGUAGGCGGCUUGAUAAGGUUGCGGUGAAAGCCCGGGGCUCAACCCCGGGUCGGCCGUGGCAACUGUCGAGCUGGAGCACUGUAGAGGCAGGUGGAAUUCCGGGUGUAGCGGUGGAUGCGUAGAGAUCCGGAAGAACACCGGUGGCGAAGGCGGCCGCUGGGCAG